AGUGAACGCUGGCGGUAGGCCUAACACAUGCAAGUCGAACGGCAGCACAGUAAGAGCUUGCUCUUACGGGUGGCGAGUGGCGGACGGGUGAGGAAUACAUCGGAAUCUACUUUUUCGUGGGGGAUAACGUAGGGAAACUUACGCUAAUACCGCAUACGACCUACGGGUGAAAGCAGGGGACCUUCGGACCUUGCGCGAUUGAAUGAGCCGAUGUCGGAUUAGCUAGUUGGCGGGGUAAAGGCCCACCAAGGCGACGAUCCGUAGCUGGUCUGAGAGGAUGAUCAGCCACACUGGAACUUAGACACGGUCCAGACUCCUACGGGAGGCAGCAGUGGGGAAUAUUGGACAAUGGGCGCAAGCCUGAUCCAGCCAUACCGCGUGGGUGAAGAAGGCCUUCGGGUUGUAAAGCCCUUUUGUUGGGAAAGAAAAGCAGCAGGUUAAUACCCCGCUGUUCUGACGGUACCCAAAGAAUAAGCACCGGCUAACUUCGUG
rnacentral:rRNA from 1 species